UCUGUCCAUCCUUAGAGCUCCGGUGAAUUGCAUGAGAACUGUGUGGAUGAGCCUGGAGGGCACGGGGGGCCCUGGCCCAGCCCAGGGGAGGCUUCCAGGAGCCGGGUGCUGAAGGUGGCAGAGGCGGGUGUAGGAAAAGUUGCGGGAAAUGUGGGCACACUUAUGCUCAGGUGAUGCUGAGUCGUUUGUAGCUGAAACUUGAGGUGGAGGAAGAGGCAGCUAGAGAAAAGCUUACAGAGCUGGAUGACCUUGGCUUUGCAUUUCUUUCUCAAAUAUUUAUCGAGCAUUUCUACGUGCCAUGGAUUUUUCUAGACGCUAUAGGGAACCAGUGGGGAACAAAGGAGUUUAACUUCCUCCUGUAUGAAAUCUUCAGGUGCCGCACUUGGGAAGAACCUGUCCUCAGGACAGUGGUUCUCAGCCUGCGGUGAAGCCGCGAGAUGUUUUAGGUUGUCACACUGGGGCAGAUGGUAGGUAGAGACCAGGGGCGCUGUUCUACACCCUACAAAGCACAGGACAGGUCCCCACCACAAGAAUGACCCCUCCCCCAAAUGUCAUUAGUGCUGAGCUGGGAAGACCUAGCCUCAAAGGAUGGCUUGGUGUUUGCAGGAGGGGAGCUUUCGGGGUGGGCAGGUCUCCACGCACGGGCGGUGAAGGGACAGAGGCAGCUGUAGUGACCAAGGUGGUGAAUAGGCUUCACUCGGAGCAGUGAGGUGGGGGAGGGCGGGGCUGGGGUCACGGCACUUGGUGGCCAGAUGACGUGUCACGUGGAGCGGAGCGUGGUUGACUUUAGAUUCCUGCCUCGGCCCUCACGCGAUGCUGUCCCUGCCAUGUGGUUCCAUCUGGAUUUGGAGACGGACUCAGCUCUGGACGUUGUAUGACUCCCCUGAGGCUGCCAUAACAGAGUCCCACAGGCUGGGAGCCUUCAACCACAGAAGUUAAUUUUCUCACCGUUCUGGGGGCUGGACGUCCACCAUCAAGGUGUCAGCAGGGUUGGGUUCUUCUGAGGCCUUUCUCCUCGCUUCACAGACAGCCGUCUUCCUCCUGCGUCUUCCCUCUGUGCCUACGUCCUAAUUCUCUCUUCUGUAAGGACACCAGUCAUACAGGGCUCACCCGAUGACCUCAGUUUGUCCUCAUCACCUCUUUAAGGGUCCUGUCUCCAAACGGUCCCAUUCUGAGGUGCUGGGGCCAGGACUUCAGGGGCAUAGUUCAGCCCCUAGUAGCUCGUUCAGCUCGAGGUGCCCAGGGGCUGCUCUGGAGCCUGAGGUCAGGGCGAGGUCAGCUGUGGGGAGUGUGGAAGGACAGAGGGGACAGUCGGGGUGUGGCUGUCCACAGUGGGAGAGACGCCCAGCCGCGAGAGGAGAGCCACGGACGGCUAGAGCACAGGAUGUGUUCUGGUGCGGAGUACGAGGCUCAAAGACGCGGUGACAGCUGGGUGCUUGGACAGGUGCGUCUGAAGGUGGGAAGUUGGACUUCCUGGGAGAAGAAUUCAUUUUAUUUAUUCACAUGAAUGCAAGACACGAGUCAGACAGUCUUCAAGACUUUUGAUCUUCUGGGAGGAGGGGAAGAAACACCUGCAGCAAGAUGACCCCCCCAGCACCCUCAGGGCCCAUGAUGUCAGCUCCUCAAGCAGUCCACGUGGCCCCACCCCCCGAACCCUGGGGCCUCAACACAGCCACUACCAAGGGGUCCCUGGCACAGGGGCUGCGACACCUGCCGUUGGAGUCUAAGCUUAGGAGGGAAGAAACAAACUCAGGGGAGGAAGCUCUGUGAACAGGCCACAGUACAAUGUGACUGUGAACCUUGGCAGACAGUCCCUGUGGGGUUGACUGAAUGGGUUUUCAAGGCUGCAUAGGAGUUGACCAGGCCGAUUGGAAGGAAUGAGGCAGAGGGCACAGCCUGACAUCUCAGAACUACCCAGCUUUCCCUGGAGGAGCAGGGCAGAGUGGUGAAAAAAGGUGAAAACUACGGAGCAGGCGGUUCACGGGAGAGGGACCCCUGCCCAGACAGGAGCCCCCUGGUGAGGAAUGAGGGCCCCGGAGGCAGGGCCUAGUUGCGGUGAGCGGGGCCUACUCUUCUUUGCGGUGCGCGGGCUUCUCAUUGCGGUGGCUUCUCUUGUUGCGGAGCACAGGCUUCAGUAGUUGUGGCACACGGGCUCAGUAGUUGUGGCUUGCGGGCUCAGUAGCUGUGGCUUGCGGGCUCUAGAGCACAGGCUCAGUAGCUGUGGCACAUGGGCUCUAGAGCGCAGGCUCAGUAAUUGUGGUGCACGGGCUUAGUUGCUCCGCGGCAUGUGGGAUCUUCCCGGACCAGGGCUCGAACCCAUGUCCCCUGCAUUGGCAGGUGGAUUCUUAACCACUGCGCCACCAGGGUCCCUGUGUGGGUGCAUCCCACGAGGCACGUGGCCAGCUCGGAGCCAGGUGAAAGGUCUCGGGGCAAGGUGAGGGGGAGCUGUGGUGCUCGGCUGUGGGCAGAGAAGGGCAGUGACCCCACCUGAGACCUCAGGAGUGCAGGGGUUAAGGUUCAAGGGGCGGUCAUAAAGGUUGGUCCUCCCUGUGUCCCUGACACCUCAGCCCCACCUCACCGUGAGACCAGCUCAUCGCCCGGGGAGAUGCAGCUGGUGACCUAAAACCUGCUCAGAAGGACCCGGCAGGACCCAGCCGAGGGGCGUUGUGGGCCCCCCUGGGGUUUCCUCCCCUCUGCACCCCCGUCCUCGGGAAGAAAGCCCGGUGAGUGUGCUGCUGGGAGGAGGAAGUCUUUCCUCGGGUCUCUCCUCCUCUGUAAACUGAGGGGUGUGGACUAGAUCUCCAGCUGAGGACACCCCUGUGUCUCUCUGGACGAGGAUGCAGAACCCAGGCAACGGGGGAGAAGUUGAAGGAGGGCUCGUCUGCGGUUCUUCCCAGCAAGUCCAGGCCACUGCCAGCCUCUCCCGGGAGGGGCGGCUUUCCUGCCAUCGGAAGGGCAGCAGGCGAGUCCCACGCAGGAUUUCAUGCAGCAGCAGCUGGUGGGGAGGCGGCAGACCCUGGCCCGUUUGGCCAUCUUCUUCUAGAGAGCAGCUCGGGGGCAAGAGGCCCCACCCCUGGUGGCCGGGCCCCUCGGUGUGGAUUUUAUUAGCCCUGAGCACAAGUCACAUCUACUUGUUGCGUUUAAGGCUCUGCAGAGGUGUGAGGGGCCGCGUGGGAAUCCAGCAGUGUUACUCGUGCUUGAGAGCACACACUCUGAAGCCGGACUGGCCAGAUGUGAGUCCCAGCUUUGCUGCUCAAGAACCGUGUGUGGCCCCUGUCCAGUCGCUGGGCCUCAGUUUCCCAUCUAUAAACUGAGACCGAAACAGUAGGACCCGCGGCUGAGGGCUGUGGGGAGGAUUAAAUGCCUAGAACAGCACCUGGGGCACCUCGAGGGUCCCUGGUGUUGGCUGUGGUCAGCGUGGCCGUCAGCAGAAGCCGGCCCCAACCCCCGGGACUGAUCUGAGGGGUCACCUUCCAUCGGUGCUCUGCACACAAUGAGCCUCUGUUCUGAUUCCAAGGACUCCCUUCUUUGUGCUUCCCUGUAGCUCUUCCUUUCCCCCAAAUUAAGCGCUUUUGAAGACACUUGCUGUCUGGUUAAUUAUCCCGACUUGUGCAGCCGAGGCCUCUCGCCAGCCGUGCUCAGUGUCCGGAGCCGCGCGACUGGCCCCGAGCGUCCGGGCUCAUGGCACGAAGUGGCUCCCGGCCCCUCCCGCUCGCGCUCUCACCGCCAGACACGCCGCCCGCCCCCGAGCUCCCAGCAGCUUGGACGUAGGUCAGAGGGGCCAUUCAUUAGGUACAGGCAGAGCUCUGUCCUCAUUCCCAGCCACUCCGCCAGCAGUGAGACCCGAGUACUUUAUCGGAGUGAUGGGCCGGCGCUGGUUCCUGGCAGAGGGGCCUCCGACAGAAGGAAUGCGCGUUAGUGACCAGGCUGCGGGCCUGAGGCUCGUGGCACUCGUCUCACGCUUUGUGACAGGCCACCCCACAUCUGGUGCCGGGCAACCACCACCGCGUAUUCGCUCAGGACUGUGUGAGCGGGCAGGGCUUGUGGAGGUGGCCCGCCGCCCCGCUGCCCCCCAGGUAGGGUGGGCGGGGCCACCUCCACUAAGGUGGCUGGACCGUGGCGUGGCCUGGGCCUCCCUCCCUCUGCCAAGCCUCUGGGCCCAGGGCCCCCCGCUCCAGCAGGGGGACACUUUGUUCACGGACGGCCGCUUCCAGGGGGUACACGGAAACCAGGGGGACUCGAAGGACCCAGGCCCAAGGCCCAGGUUCAGUGGGACGUGUUACACGCCGAACACCAUCCCCCCUCCCCGCGGCCAAACCGAAUGCUGAGGUCCUAACCCUCAGUUCCUCAGGACCUGAACGUCACUGGAAGUAGGGUCUCUGCGGAUGUAACUGGAGGAGGGUGGACCCCGAAUCCGACCUGACUGGUGUCCAUAUGUAAGGGGGAGUUUGGACACAGACACGUACAAAGGAGAAGGUCCGUGAAGAUUGGAGUUAUGCGCCCCCCGUUACCAGAUUCUAGGAAAGAGGCCUGACAACCCCUCGACCUUGGAAUUCCGGCCCCCAGAACUGUCAGACAAUGAGUUUCUGUUGUGUAAGCCACCCGGUUUGUGGCGCUUCGUGACCACAGCCCAGCAAGCUAAUACCGAAGGGGAAUGACGGCCACGCUUGAUGGGAGGGAUGCCCUCCGCGUCCAGGCUGGGACACUGCGGUGGCUGUGUUUGCAGACCCCCCUGCUGCCCCCCGAGGGCUUGCCGGCGGCCGUGGGGAAGCCGUCCCUCCUUCUCAUCUGUCCCUCCUUCUCAUCCUAGAGAAGACGUGCUUCUUCAUUAUCCAGCUUUAAAACUUUGUGCCUCCCUGAGGGUUCUUUCGCCUGGAUCAGGAUCUCCUGGAGGGCUUGUCCACACAGACUGCUGGUCCCACCGCCCAACAACUGUCCGACCCAGCAGGUGGGGGCCUGACGCUGUGCCCUUCUGCCAGGUUCUCUCAGGAGCACACAGGGAGCGGCCUGGAGGGCCUGGCGUCAGGGUCACUGGGGCUCGCCUGGCGUGGCGUCCAGGCUCUGGUGUUGAGAGAGCUGAGCUGGGGGACAAGCGCUGCUCCCGGGGCCCCAGACCACGAGGGGCCUGCGCGACGGGACCAGGUCAGGGCACACCUUUUUAGAAAAACUUUCCUCAGUGACACACACAGCCCAAGCAAGACAGAGCUUUAAUAAAACAAAGAGAAAAGUGUUGCCGGGAGUUCCCUGGCGGUCCGGUGGUUAGGAUGCAGUGCUCUCACUGCCGAGGGCCCAGGUUUGAUCCCUGAUCGGGGAACUAAGAUCCUGCAAGCCGCGUGGCAAGUGUUCCUGACUCCCCGAGGUUACAGACCUGACUGCCCUGCAAGUCCUUGUGUCCUCCUCCCGACACUCUGGACCUGCCUCCGGUCCCAGCCACCAACAGUUACAGGCCAAGAAAGGGCGGGGCUCACUCCUCGAAGCCAAGAAGAGGGUCCCUGCCUCGGACGCGGCCUCGUAGGGGCCCCACGUGGGCGCCGGGCCGCGCCCUUCCCACUGCGUCAGUGCCUUGUGGGCCAGGAUCAGAGUCACCUGAACCGACCCUGGCCUGACAGGGCCAGCGUGCGGGUGGGAAGGAGCCCCGAGGACGCCGACGGACUCUAAGGGAAACGGAUCCAUCGUGCUGACACGCUGCCGAGGUGCUGGACGGCCUGACACGCAGGCAGUGAUUGCGUCCCUCGAGGUUUCAGCUCCUUGGGGAAGUGGCAUUCCUGUUUCUCAGGUGCGGAAACUGACUUCCAGCCAGGACAGGCGCUGCUCCUAGGUUGGCAGGGAGGGGAGGGAAAGCCUGGAGUUUGGCCGACGGGGCUAACCUGGCAGUGUGACCUGACGCGGUGUGUCUCUUGAGACUGACCCCUCACACGUGCAGCCUUCAUUUUCUCCCUCAGCAGCCCUGUCUUCGUCCUACAGAUGAGACCACUUGGGAUCACGGAGGUCCAGAGCCCACCCCAUGCUCCUGCCCCGCAAGGGAGCUGCCCCAGUGCCCGAGGAGCAGGGAGCCCUGGCUGCCCUGUCUGUCAGCCCUCUGGGUGACGGUACUGCUUCCAGGGACCCAACCAGAUCCUAAAGCAGCCCAACCAGAAAGAGGAGGUGCGCGCCCUGAGGCCUUUUGGUGGGACGUCUGCCCCUCCCCGCCCACCUGGGGUCAGGCAGGCAACACAGUGGAAACUCCCACCUGCCCGGGCCUGCGGAGGCUCCCAGGAGGGAGGGAAGGAGCUCAGACCUGUAGUAGGAGCCCCGGGAUGCGCCAGCAGGGAGCCCCCCAGACACUGCCUGGGAGUGAGUGGAGGCCUGGGGUCCUCCUCCGUGGGGGUGGGGGGAGGGCUGGGGCUCUACACGCUGAGCCUUGGCGCCCAGAGUGAACGGGCAGACAAGCUGAUGCACCCGGGGGUCUGGCACCUGCCUCACAGGUUCGAUUCCCUUUACCCCUCGUGCCAACGCCGUGUGGCGGGUGGAAUCCUCGGUUAGAGUGGGGAGACGGCUCCGAGGGGUUAACAACGUUUUAAGAUCUCUCAGCUCAGAAGCGGAGCUGGGGCUAAAACCCAGGUUUGGUGACAACAAAGCCUCCGUCCGGGUUUUCCAUUGAGGCUGGUUAACCCGUGGAUAGAGCCCAAGGCUUCAGGAGAAGGGAAAGUUUGCACAGGUGCCUGGCACCCCUUGGGUACUCAGUAAAGGUUUGGAUGAAUGAAAAGCUGGAAGCAAAGGGUUGCCGCUGGGUCCUGGACUGGGGCCGGCGUGGGGGAAUGGAGGCAGUGGGCUCUCCCCAGCUCCCUGGUGAUGGGUGUCCAGGCCUCCCCAGUCUCACCGGGAAGCCAGGUCCUGUCCUGCCGGGCCAGCACUUGGGAGCAGGAGCCCAGCUCCCAAGACACAGAGGCAAUCCAUGAGGACGCAAAGCAGAGGAUGUGGCAGGCGUGGAGGGAGGGAAAAGGUCAGCGGGUACUGACCUGAGGGGAGCCCGACAGGCUGCUGAGGGACCACUCGGAGGGCGUGGGGGGCUGGUGGGAACUUUGAUUCCUCCCCACCCGCACUGAAGCCCCACCUAACGACCAAGAUCCCCAAGAAGCGAGGAGCUUGCUGUGAAAAUUAGCAGAAGCCUCCAUGAAAAGAGAGUCAGGAGGCCAUCAGGGGAUUGCAAAGCCCAGGAGAAGAGAGCCUGAGCGGAGCACGGGCUCUAGGCAUGUGGGCUUCAGUAGUUGCAGCCUGCGGGCUCAGUAGUUGUGGCUCGUGGGCUCUAGAGCGCAGGCUCACUGGCUGUGGCGCACGGGCUUCGUUGCUCCACGGCAUGUAGGAUCUUCCCGGACCAGGGCUCCAACCUGUGUCCCCUGCAUUGGCAGGUGGAUUCUUAACCACUGCACCACCAGGGAGCUUCCCGUCUGGCAGGAGCUCAGCCAGCGAGAGGCCUCCAGCCUUCCCGACCUCCCUGCCCCUGUAACAGAGCUCUCUCCCUGGUGUGGGGUCCUGCACGGGGCUCGCCAAGGCGGCAGACCCUUGGGCCCCAGAGACGCGGCGGGGAGGGGAGGCCCUGGUGGGACCUCAGGCCGCUUGCUCGCAUGCUUCCUUCCAUUUCCCUGUCUGAGGACACCGCACCUGUUGGCUGUCACCUCCUCUGGGAAGCCUCCCCUGAUCCCUCUCCUCUGCCCCUUUUAAUUAAUUAAUUUAUUUAUUUAUUUAUUUAUUUUUGGCUGCAUUGGGUCUUCGUUGCUGCGCAUGGGCUUUCUCUAGCUGUGGCGAGCAGGGGCUACUGUUUGUUGUGGUGUGCGAGCUUCUCAUUGUCCUGGCUUCUCUUGUUAUAGAGCAUGGGCUCUAGGUGCAAGGACGUCCGUAGUUGUGGCACACGGGCUCAGUAGUUGUGGCUCACAAGCUCUAGAGCGCAGGCUCAGUAGUUGUGGCGCACGGGCUUAGUUGCUCCAUGCCAUGUGGGAUCUUCCCGGACUAGGGCUCGAACCUGUGUCCCCUGCAUUGGCAGGCAGAUUCUUAACCACUGCACCACCAGGGAAGUCCCUUCUCUGCCCCUUUAAUGCAGUAUUUCACUUGUCUCUCUUUCUGGACUAGAAGCUCUUCAAGGCCAGAGUCCACAGGCUUUUACUCUGUCCCUGUGCCCGGGGCCUGACAUGUAGUGGUCAGUCAGGAAAAGUUUGGACAUGAGGCUAAGUGGCAGGCCUAGACUGGGGUGGAUGGGAAAGUAGGAGCUUACAGCAGUUGAAGCACUUUGAUGGGAGAAUGAGCAAGGUUGGGUAAAAGUAUUUUAAAUAAGCAAUUCCAGGGGAUUCUGAUGCAAGUGGUUCAUAGACCAUUUUUUCAAAGCACUGUUUUAGGACUUUGAGUUUAUGUAUGUAAGGUAACCAUUGCCAGAAACACAUACAAGCUAAAGAAUUUGGUGUCAGAUGUGCUGGGCUGAGGUGACAGUUAAACCCAAGUGGAGAGUGUCGUCAUCAGCUGGACACGGGACUCGGAGGCUCAGAUUGGACACCCCAGAGGGUGAUGUCGACGUGGGUGGUGCCUCAAAGUUCAUUCAGGUAAGGCUCUGACCGUGAUUGAAAGUCAUCAAAGAAAGAAGAUACGGACAGAGUGAAAGACCUCGGAAUUUUCCCACAUUUAGGGAUGGCGGAGAUGGAGACCACGACUAGUCAGAGAGAGAGGAGUUUCAGCAGCGCUGGGAUGCAGAAGCCAGAAUGCAGAAUGCGGAGGAGAAAGUGAAGCUUCGGUUACAAGCUAUUUGUGCCCGAGUUCGUUUGUGAGGGAAGAAGGGAACUAGAUUGGCGCCACGGAACAGCUUAAAAGGACAGAGUUAGGGGCUUAGUUUUAUUGGUACGCGUCCAUCUGCUGCAUUCCAGAGCCUCAGAGAGUUCGACUUCUGAUGAGAGGCCCUUCCUUGGCUUCUUAUGAUGUAAAUUCCAGGGCCUGGCCAUGAUUUCCCCUCCUGCUACCCCUCACCCCUGGCCUCUAACUGUGUGCGAACACACACACCAACACCCUGUAUUUGUGCUGAUCUCAGCAUCCCAGGGAUAGAUUCUGGGAAUGACCAAGGCCUUGUCCCAAACUGGGCUAAGCUAUAUCCAGCCCAGAAAAAGACAACCUAUGAGAGUCGCUUGUUUGGGUAGGAAAAGGAAGGAACAGGUCUAACAUCUCGGCGGCACCAGAAGAAUGACCACAUCUUCCCUCUCUGCCCCUCAUUCCCUGGCAUCCCCACCCCGCCCCCGGGUCACUCAGAUAGGCUAGAAUGACAGAGCUGCAAGACUUUAAGUUUUCUUCGCCUUAUUGAGUUAUCUUCCUCCUGAGCUGCCCCCAUGUCCCUGGCAUGUUCCUCCCAGAGGUCGAUGUGCUGGAUGCUGAGCCCACCCACCUGGUUAGCGUUCGCCACCAGCCUCACGCAGCUCACCUCGUGCCCCACGCUCCGUGGAACUACCUCCUGAUCCAGCUGCCCUUCCAGGAGGUGGCCCAGCAAGGCGAGGCUGGUGCAGCGCUGCGGUGUCCCCUCGGGCUCGUAGCCCAGCUCCACCUGCCCCUUCUCCAGGGCGUGCUUGCCAUCCACGAUGGUGCCCGGCAGUACCUGCACCCUCCUCAGGUCCGCUGGGUGGUUCAGGAUGACAGUCAGGUGGUUCCCUGCGCUGUGGGCCCAAAAGAAGGACUCGUCCAGACUGUAGGCCUGCCAGGGGAAAUGGACCUCAAAAACCUUCAUGUCUGUGAACACGGCUCCUGGUGGGUUGCCAGGGGCUUAGGGGCUCUUUUUCUGCGUGCCCGAGGCCUUCUGGCUGUGUCGUUCGGCGCAUGGUAGGGGACUCGGUGGUAGAACAGGAACGGUCUGCAGAGGAUCGGCUCCUUCUGGGCCAGGAGGGUGCGGAAGUGAGGGAGGAGCCUGGCGAGGGGCUUCUCCCCGUAGAAGAGGAGGAGGAAGUGGGCCAGCACCGGGGGUCCCCGCUGCGGAAGAGCCUGCCCUGGAAGCCCAGGUUGGAGAACUCCAGGAGCGCCCAGGGCUGGGACCCCAGGGUGUCCGCUUUCCACUGAACGUGGUGAUGAAGUUGGGGGCGCACAAGGUGCCGUCCUCCAGCAGCAGGAAGUACUCCGAGAGCUUCGCGGCGCAGCUCAUGAGGAAGGCGUGGUCCGUGGUCCGCUGGGAGUAGGGCUCCUGGCGAGAGGCCCCGCCCCGACGCCGCCCUCGUGGGGAUGGGCCUCCGGCGGGGCGGGAAUCGGCGCUGCCCCGCCGAGACCUGUGGGCUGAAGAGGCUGGAAAUGCGGAGGCCGGCCUCCCUGAGCCAGGCCAGGCCAGGCCAGCGCCCGCCAGGUGGGCAGCAGUGUGUACGGGAGCCCGCUGCGGUCCGACCGGGGCCUCGAGCAGGUGCCGACCGUCAGCCACGCUGGGGCGGCCAGCUGCGCGGUCAGCGUGCAGGCAGGCCGGGUGGAUGCUCUGCAGCACCAGCAGAUGCUCUCCCCGCAGAUGCUCGUCCCGCCCUCGCUGCUCGGCUAUUGCCCACCCCAGGGGGCAGGUUCAGAUCCUCGCUACGCAAAGCGUGGGCGUUAGUCCAGCAACAUCGCCCCGUUUGGAAGCUUAUUAGACGUGCAGAAUCUAGUGAAGCAGAGUCUGCAUUUUAACAAGGUCGCCAGGUGCCUGAGCUGGGGUGCUGCGUCCUCACGGGCCUCUGAGGCUUCUUUGAACUGGAAUUUUGUGGCACAUGGUUUAAGUACUCAAUAAAUAUUAGCUUUUUUUUUUUUUUUAA